rnacentral:rRNA from 1 species
AGUGAACGCUGGCGGUAGGCCUAACACAUGCAAGUCGAACGGCAGCACAGUAAGAGCUUGCUCUUACGGGUGGCGAGUGGCGGACGGAUGAGGAAUACAUCGGAAUCUACUUUUUCGUGGGGGAUAACGUAGGGAAACUUACGCUAAUACCGCAUACGACCUACGGGUGAAAGCAGGGGAUCUUCGGACCUUGCGCGAUUGAAUGAGCCGAUGUCGGAUUAGCUAGUUGGCUGGGUAAAGGCCCACCAAGGCGACGAUCCGUAGCUGGUCUGAGAGGAUGAUCAGCCACACUGGAACUGAGACACGGUCCAGACUCCUACGGGAGGCAGCAGUGGGGAAUAUUGGACAAUGGGCGCAAGCCUGAUCCAGCCAUACCGCGUGGGUGAAGAAGGCCUUCGGGUUGUAAAGCCCUUUUGUUGGGAAAGAAAAGCAGCAGGUUAAUACCCCGCUGUUCUGACGGUACCCAAAGAAUAAGCACCGGCUAACUUCGUG